AGCAGGAACAACAAACACUUCUGGGUAAAAUUACAUAUAGGAUCCAUUAUGAGAGAAGACUAUGUGAAUCAAUGAGUAAGUCCAAUUUACAUCAGCGAGUCCCACGCCUAACCCACUUCUGUUUGUAUAAACUUGCUGUGAGACUUCAACUGCUUUAAAACAAUCUCCUUAUGGCUCAGUGAAUGAGUCAGGAUUUCUGGGGACCUGAUGCACAAAAUCACGAUCAAAGCUGGUUGGUGAGUCACAUCCUUCAUGAAUGAUCACUCCUGGGCAGGAACAUAUACAGUCUCCCCCCGAUCCCCACCCACUGUUGCUCAGUAUCUCCUCUACCUGGUCAGAGCCAAGGGUCACAGAGACAUUGGCUGGAGACAAGAGUAGAGAUCACAAGAGGACUGAACCAGAAGCCGGCUCCAUGGGACAUUCUUUCUAUUGCUUCGUCUUGGGUAGGAAAGAAUCUUCAGCCAACAGGCUCCUCCUUUCUGAAGACAGAGAAGUGUACACUCAGGUACUCAUAAUCUUUACUGUGCCCAGCUCUCCUGCUUUGGUGCCUACUGAGUGGCCUCUUUUAAUGUGACAACAGUGGCCUC
rnacentral:lncRNA from 1 species